CCUACGGGAGGCAGCAGUGAGGAAUAUUGGUCAAUGGGCGCGAGCCUGAACCAGCCAAGUAGCGUGAAGGAUGACUGCCCUAUGGGUUGUAAACUUCUUUUAUACAGGAAUAAAGUGAGGCACGUGUGUCUUUCUGUAAGUACUUUAUGAAUAAGGAUCGGCUAACUCCGUGCCAGCAGCCGCGGUAAUACGGAGGAUCCGAGCGUUAUCCGGAUUUAUUGGGUUUAAAGGGAGCGUAGAUGGGUUGUUAAGUCAGUUGUGAAAGUUUGCGGCUCAACCGUAAAAUUGCAAUUGAUACUGGCAGUCUUGAGUGCAGUUGAGGUAGGCGGAAUGCGUGGUGUAGCGGUGAAAUGCUUAGAUAUCACGAAGAACACCGAUUGCGAAGGCAGCUUACUAAGCUGCCACUGACAUUGAUGCACGAAAGUGUGGGUAUCAAACAGGAUUAGAUACCCGAGUAGUC
rnacentral:rRNA from 1 species